CCCCGCAAGGGAGCGGCAGACGGGAGAGUAACACGUGGGAACGUACCCUUCAGUUCGGAACAACCAAGGGAAACUUUGGCUAAUACCGGAUACGUCCGUAAGGAGAAAGAUUUAUCGCUGAAGGAUCGGCCCGCGUCUGAUUAGCUAGUUGGUGAGGUAACGGCUCACCAAGGCGACGAUCAGUAGCUGGUCUGAGAGGAUGAUCAGCCUCAUUGGGACUGAGACACGGCCCAA
rnacentral:rRNA from 1 species